UGCAUAAUGUUAGCAGACCAUGGGAACAAUCCUCUAAUCAGUUUUCUCAGUACCCAGCUACCAUGUUAUUGACAGCUGAUCAUGAUGAUCGGGUUGUGCCAUUACACUCAUUAAAGUUAUUAGCGGUAAUUAAGAACCAAUCUGACCUCAUUGAUAAAAGACGAGUGUUUUACUCAGACAUAAGAGAUGACAAUCCAUUGAAUUCCAUUGUGUCAAAAGUGAAAAUUGUGCAACUUGCGGCAAAAGCUGACUUGGCUGAAAAAGAGAAUACUUUUGUCUUCAGACUUGUAUUAUGAUAUGGCAUAUUCAUUGCCACACUUUUCGUUUACAACUCUAGAUACAGCUACAGCAAAUCCAGAAAACUUAAAGAUGGAUAGUGAUGCAUCCUCAAUAAGUGAAGCUAGUUCAAAUAGUGCACUAGGAGACAACUGACGCUGCAAAGUCUUCCCAAGUUUCUAGAUGUCAAGAGUAUCGGAUGACUUUACUAGAUUUAUACUCUGGAUGUGGAGCCAUGUCAACUGGUCUCUGCCUUGGAGCAUCCGUAUCUGGUUUGAAACUGGUUACUAGGUGGGCUGUGGAUAUAAAUUCUAAU